GACGAACGCUGGCGGUGUGCUUAACACAUGCCAGUCGAACGGUAAGGCCCUUUCGGGGGUACACGAGUGGCGAACGGGUGAGUAACACGUGAGUAACCUGCCCUCAUCUCUGGGAUAACAGUCGGAAACGGUUGCUAAUACUGGAUAUGAGCUUGCAAGGCAUCUUGUGGGUUGGAAAGAUUUUUUUGGUUGGGGAUGGACUCGCGGCCUAUCAGCUUGUUGGUGAGGUAGUGGCUCACCAAGGCUUCGACGGGUAGCCGGCCUGAGAGGGCGACCGGCCACAUUGGGACUGAGAUACGGCCCAAACUCCUACGGGAGGCAGCAGUGGGGAAUAUUGCACAAUGGACGGAAGUCUGAUGCAGCAACGCCGCGUGCGGGAUGACGGCCUUCGGGUUGGAAACCGCGUUCAAUUGUGACGAAGCUUUUUGUGACGGUAGCAGUAGAAGAAGCACCGGCUAACUACGUG
rnacentral:rRNA from 1 species